rnacentral:rRNA from 1 species
AGUGAACGCCGGCGGUAGGCCUAACACAUGCAAGUCGAACGGCAGCACAGGAGAGCUUGCUCUCUGGGUGGCGAGUGGCGGACGGGUGAGGAAUACAUCGGAAUCUACUUUUUCGUGGGGGCUAACGUAGGGAAACUUACGCUAAUACCGCAUACGACCUACGGGUGAAAGCAGGGGACCUUCGGGCCUUGCGCGAUUGAAUGAGCCGAUGUCGGAUUAGCUAGUUGGCGGGGUAAAGGCCCACCAAGGCGACGAUCCGUAGCUGGUCUGAGAGGAUGAUCAGCCACACUGGAACUGAGACACGGUCCAGACUCCUACGGGAGGCAGCAGUGGGGAAUAUUGGACAAUGGGCGCAAGCCUGAUCCAGCCAUACCGCGUGGGUGAAGAAGGCCUUCGGGUUGUAAAGCCCUUUUGUUGGGAAAGAAAUCCAGCUGGCUAAUACCCGGUUGGGAUGACGGUACCCAAAGAAUAAGCACCGGCUAACUUCGUGCCAGCAGCCGCCGUAA